GCUCUAGGGGAGGCCAAUGCUAGGCGAGCAGAAGCUGUGGUGACAAAGGGGAACAGAGACAGGCAACAUCCAGAGGGCAGGCCAAGGCAAACGAAACCAGGAUUUGCAAGUGACCCGGGACCCAGGGGGCUGUCUGAAGAUGGCGAUUAUUGGGGCUGGUCCUGUUUUAUAGCAGAUGUUCAUCAUACAGGUGUGAAAAGGACACAGGCACUAUUCUAAAUAACUGAGCUCCUGCA